rnacentral:siRNA from 1 species
CGGGGUAUUGUAAGUGGCAG